rnacentral:rRNA from 1 species
CCAGACUCCUACGGGAGGCAGCAGUGAGGAAUAUUGGUCAAUGGGCGAGAGCCUGAACCAGCCAAGUCGCGUGAGGGAGUACUGCCCUAUGGGUUGUAAACCUCUUUUGUCGGGGAGCAAAAGCCGGACGUGUCCGGCUGUGAGAGUACCCGAAGAAAAAGCAUCGGCUAACUACGUGCCAGCAGCCGCGGUAAUACGUAGGGGGCAAGCGUUAUCCGGAUUUACUGGGUGUAAAGGGAGCGUAGACGGCGGCGCAAGUCCGGAGUGAAAGCCCGCGGCCCAACCGUGGGACUGCUCUGGAAACUGUGCGGCUUGAGUGCGGGAGGGGCAGGCGGAAUUCCUAGUGUAGCGGUGAAAUGCGUAGAUAUUAGGAGGAACACCGGCGGCGAAGGCGGCCUGCUGGACCGUAACUGACGUUGAGGCCCGAAAGCGUGGGGAGCAAACAGGAUUAGAUACCCCUGUACA